ensembl:lncRNA
CAAGUUUCAAGUGCGGCUCUUAGGCCAGUGUUUCCCAGCUGAAUCAGUGGGUCCACCCUGACUUCACAUUGCACUUCCUAGAGAAAGGAAAAGCCCUGAUGUGCUUGUCACCCGAGCUGACGGCUGGGGCUGCGAGAUGGAGGCCGAAUGUCUUCACUCGGUCCCUCUUCAGACACUCAAAGGCUGCUCUGUUUCAGCCUGAUGACGAGCCGAUUGGAUAUAAUCUUAAGCGGGGGACUCAGGAGAUGGGGAGGCAUAGGGAAACCCUACAGUAGGCUUUGCAGGGAAGGAAUGUCUUUCUCCAGAUGUAGGAAACGAGCAUUGGAGGGUUCCUGCUGCCAGGCAGCCCGCUCCUCCUGUUAUAACAUGGGACCAAAUUCAAACCAUGUGUCCUCACACCCGGUUAGCUGCUUUUGCCCACCUCUAGCGUUAGCAGUCUGGACGGAUCCAUUUCACUGCCCCACUCCAGUGCAACAUUCUCAUUCUCCC